UUAGAAGCUACUAAGAGUAUAUGGUGAAUGCCUUGGCACAAAAAGCCGAUGAAGGACGCGGCAGGCUGCGAUAAGCCUCGGAUAGCUGUCAACAAGCGCUUUAAUCCGGGGAUUUCCGAAUGGGGAAACCCGUUCCAGGUCAAACUGGAUCAUCGUAUGCAGAACACAUAUGCAUACGUAAGGUAAGCCGGUGAACUGAAACAUCUCAGUAACCGGAAGAAAAGAGACAAAAGUUUUGUUAUUCCCUGAGUAGUGGCGAGCGAAAUGGGAAGAGCCCAAACUCCACAGGUAGGGAGCGAUUUCCAAUGCCGCUUUGCGGCGGAGGUUAUCAAUCCAUCCCAGUAGGGACGGUUUGCAGUGGAGGGUUGUAGGUAUCAGCGUCGGUAUGCUACUGAGUACCGAGACAAGUUACAAAUCCUGUUGUUAACAGAAUACGGUUGGAAAGCCGGACCAUAGAGGGUAAUAGUCCCGUAUGUAAAAAUUUCAGGACUUGUCAGUUGAUUUCCUGAGUAUCACGGUCUAGGAGUAAUCCCGUGAGAAUCCGCCGGAACCACCCGGUAAGGCUAAAUACUUUUUGUGACCGAUAGUGAACAAGUACCGUGAGGGAAAGGUGAAAAGAACCCCUGUUAGGGGAGUGAAAUAGAAUCUGAAACCAUAUACUUACAAGCAGUCGGAGUCCUCUUAGGGGGAUGACGGCGUGCCUAUUGAAGAAUGAGCCUGCGAGUUAUUACGUACCGUUGGUUAAGCUGUUAAGCAGUGUAGCCAUAGGGAAACCGAGUCUGAAAGGGCGACCAUAUAAUGGUGCGUAAUAAACCCGAAACCGAGUGAGCUAACCAUGAGCAGGUUGAACUCUGUAGAAAUACAGAGGGAGGACCGAACCGGUAAAUGUUUCAAAAUUUUCGGAUGACUUGUGGUUAGAGGUUACACGCCUAUCGAACUCGGAUAUAGCUGGUUCUCUCCGAAACAACUUUAGGGUUGGCCUUGUUUCGUAGCACACGGAGGUAGAGCACUGAUUGGAUCGUGGGGGGCUUCGGCCUUACUGCAUCUUCUCAAACUCCGAAUGCCGUGUGUGUAACAACAGGAGUUAGACUAUGGGAGAUAAGUUCCAUUGGUCGAAAGGGAAACAGCCCAGAUCAUCUGCUAAGGUCCCUAAAUCUAUGCUAAGUGGUAAAGGAUGUGAGAUUUCUUAAACAGCCAGGAGGUUUGCUUAGAGGCAGCAAUCCUUUAAAGAGUGCGUAACAGCUCACUGGUCUAGAGGUUUUGCGCCGAUAAUUUAACGGGGCUCAAGCAUAGUACCGAAGCAAUGAAUCCGCCUAUGGCGGAUGGUAGGAGAGCGUUGUGUGUGUGUUGAAGGCGUAGCUGUAAGGCUUACUGGAACGCACACAAGUGAGAAUGCAGGCAUGAGUAGCGUAAUCCAGGUGAAAACCCUGGACACCGGAUGAGUAAGGUUUCCUUGGCCAUGUCAGUCAUCCAAGGGUUAGUCGGUCCUAAGCCGAGGCCGAAAGGCGUAGGCGAUGGACAUCAGGUUAAUAUUCCUGAACCGCUCAGUAAUCGUUAUCAACUAUGGGGAGACCGGGAAGGAGAUUUCAGAGUGUCCACAGGUGGGCAUUCAAGCAGCAAGCCAGGUCUGUUAGGUAAAUCCGGCAGACCGUUAACGCGAGUUGUUACGAAAAGUCAAAUCCUACGGGAGGCGGCAAUUUUGAAUAUUCUUCGCGCAAGAAAAACCUCUAUGUGAGAUUACUGUGUGACCGUACCGCAAACCGACACUGGUACUCUGGUAGAGUAUACCGAGGUGUACGAGUGAUCCCUCGUUAAGGAAUUCGGCAAAUUAACCCCGUAACUUCGGGAGAAGGGGUCCCUGCUUCGGCAGGGCGCAGAUAAAUAGCCCAAUCGACUGUUUAACAAAAACACAGGUCCCUGCAAAAGCGCAAGCUGACGUAUAGGGGCUGACGCCUGCCCAAUGCCAGAAGAUUAAGGGAGGGGGUUAUCCUUCGGGAGAAGCCUCUGACUCAAGUCCUGGUCAAUGGCGGCUGUAACUAUAACGGUCCUAAGGUAGCGAAGUUCCUCGGCGCUUAAUAGGCGUCCCGCACGAAUGGCGUAACGAGUUGGGCACUGUCUCAACGAGGGGCUCGGCGAACAUUGAAAUGGCAGUGAAGAUGCUGCCUACCCGCACCAGGACAAAAAGACCCCGGGAUCUUUACUGCAGCUUGGCAUUGGGAUAGCGUUCCUUUUGUAGAGCGUAGGAGGGAGACUUUGAAGUCUCGUCGUCAGGCGGGGCGGAGUCGUCAAUGUAACACCUCCCUAAAGCUAUGCUAUUUCUAAUUCAAACCGUAAUCCGGUUCUGAAGACAGUGUCUGGUAGGCAGUUUGACUGGGGCGGUUUCUUACUAAAAAGUAACGUAAGAUUCCAAAGGUCGACUCAAGCUGGAUGGAAAUCAGCUGAAGAGCAUAAUGGUAUAAGUCGGCUUUACUGCAAGACUGACAGGUCGAGCAGUCACGAAAGUGGGGCAUAGUGACCCUUAAGUGGCGUGUGGAAGCGCUUUUGUUUAAAGGAUAAAAGUUACCCCGGGGAUAACAGGCUGGUCUUGCCCAAGCGUUCAUAGCGACGGCAAGGUUCGGCACCUCGAUGUCGGCUCGUCGCAUCCUGGGGGUGGAGAAGCUCCCAAGGGUUGGGCUGUUCGCCCAUUAAAGCGGCACGCGAGCUGGGUUCAAACCGACGUGAGUCAGGUUGGUCUCUAUCCGGUGUGGGCGUUAGAGUCUUGAGGGAAUUGACUUUCAGUACGAGAGGAUCAAGGUGAGGUAACCUCUGGUGAACCAGUUGUCCUACCAAGGGCACCGCUGGGUAGCUACGUUGCUAUUUGGAUAAACGCUGAAAGCAUAUAAGCGUGAAGCCAGGCCCAAGAUGAGGACUCUUUUAAGUUCCCCUGCUAGAUUACAGGGUAUAUAGGCUCCAGGUGUAAGCACAGUGAUGUGUGUAGCCGAGGAGAAACUAAUAGAACGUAAGCUUAGAAAA
rfam:Candidate division WS6 bacterium OLB20 TR69_WS6001CONTIG000003, whole genome shotgun sequence.